GGAAGUUCAUCGAGAAGACCAAUGUUUAUUAAUGCUUAUGGAGAUGACUCGGGAAAAACCUGUUGAUGAUAUUGGGUUACGUACUUGUUGCUCAAUGAAUAUAGUCUAUAGAUAUUGUUGUACAUUUUUAAAGUGUGGGUAAAAAAAAUUUUGAAAACUAGAGCUUAAUUGUUUGCUAAUAAAGUAAUAAAUUAAUAUUUCAUC
rnacentral:misc_RNA from 1 species